AACGAACGCUGGCGGCAUGCCUAACACAUGCAAGUCGAACGAGACCUUCGGGUAUAGUGGCGCACGGGUGCGUAACGCGUGGGAACCUGCCCUUAGGUUCGGAAUAACUCCCCGAAAGGGGUGCUAAUACCGGAUAAUGUCUUCGGACCAAAGAUUUGUCGCCUUUGGAUGGGCCGGCGUUGGAUUAGCUAGUUGGUAGGGUAAAAGCCUACCAAGGCGACGAUCCAUAGCUGGUCUGAGAGGAUGAUCAGCCACACUGGGACUGAGACACGGCCCAGACUCCUACGGGAGGCAGGAGUGGGGAAUAUUGGACAAUGGGCGAUAGGCUGAUCCAGCAAUGCCGCGUGAGUGAUGAAGGCCUUAGGGUUGUAAAGCUCUUUUACCCGGGAUGAUAAUGACAGUACCGGGAGAAUAAGCUCCGGCUAACUCCGUG
rnacentral:rRNA from 1 species